rnacentral:rRNA from 1 species
AGUAAAAGUCGUAACAAGGUUUCCGUAGGUGAACCUGCGGAAGGAUCAUUAUUGAAGUUUAACUCAGAGGGUUGUAGCUGGCUCCUCCAAGAGCAUGUGCACGCCCUUUGUCUUUACUCUUUUCCACCUGUGCACCUUUUGUAGACCAUGAGUGAACUCUCGAGAGCGUUGGCAACGACGUGAUCGGUUUGGGGAUUUGCGUUCAGCUUUCCCUGUAGCUCGUGGUUUAUGUCUUAUAAACUCUAUAGUCUGUUUUGAAUGUCUUAUGGGUUUUGCGCUGUAAUGGUGCGACCUUUAUAAACUAUACAACUUUUAGCAACGGAUCUCUUGGCUCUCGCAUCGAUGAAGAACGCAGCGAAUUGCGAUAUGUAAUGUGAAUUGCAGAAUUCAGUGAAUCAUCGAAUCUUUGAACGCACCUUGCGCUCCUUGGUAUUCCGAGGAGCAUGCCUGUUUGAGUGUCAUUAAAUUCUCAACCUCUCCAGCUUUCACAAGUUGGUUGAGCGUUGGAUGUGGGGGUUGCGGGCUUCUCAGAGGUCGGCUCCCCUUAAAUACAUUAGCGGAAACCUUAUCCUUUCCUCUUGGUGUGAUAGUUUAUCUGCAUCUUGAUGAUUGGGUCUUUGCUGGUUUUUCUGCUUCUAACCGUCCAUUAGCUUGGACAAUUUCUUUUGACUUGACCUCAAAUCAGGUAGGACUACCCGCUGAACUUAAGCAUAUCAAUAAGCGGAGGA